UUAGUACUCCCUCCGUCCGAAAUUACUUGUCGCACAAAUGUAUGAAAAUGAAUGUAUCUAGAACUAAAAUACAUCUAGAUACAUCCAUUCCUAGGACAGAUAUUUUCGGACGGAGGCAGUAGUUA
rfam:Hordeum vulgare subsp. vulgare, WGS project CAJW01000000 data, contig: morex_contig_89628